rnacentral:rRNA from 1 species
CGGCAACAGCUCAAAUUUGAAAUCUGGCUCUUUUAGUGCCCGAAUUGUAAUUUGUAGAAGAUGCUUUGGGCACCGGUCGGGUCUAAGUUCUUUGGAACACGACGUCAUAGAGGGUGAGAAUCCCGUAUGUGAUCAGGACCGUCUGCCUCUGUAAAGCUCUUUCGAC